AUUAGCGGCGGACGGGUGAGUAACACGUGAGUAACCUGCCUUUACGCAGGGAUAGCCUCGGGAAACCGGGAUUAAAACCUGAUGAAACUAUCAAAUCACAUGAUUAAGAAAGUUAAAACUCCGGUGGUAAAAGAUGGACUCGCGUCCCAUUAGCUAGUUGGUGAAGGUAACGGCCCACCAAGGCAACGAUGGGUAGCCGGCCUGAGAGGGUGAACGGCCACAUUGGAACUGAGAAACGGUCCAAACUCCUACGGGAGGCAGCAGCU
rnacentral:rRNA from 1 species